CGGCCCCUCUGUCUCCCACAAUGCUUCACGGGACGCUUCAGCCACUCUGUAUCCCACAAUGACCCGAGGCUCCAACCCUCUCUAACUGAUCACGUGGUUUGAUUCUCACAGAGAUCUUCCAUCCAGACUCAAGCACAAAAGGAGCCUGGAGCCGUGUCUAUUUGGAUUGGUGCUCCCCGCAUCAUUGUGCACAGAGCGUGGGGAUGAAUGAAUGAGUGACAGGCAUCGGGACAGUCCUGCAGCAUUCCUGAGAGGCAGGCUGGGCAGCACCAGGACGGAGAUAUAACUUCUCCAUGAAUUGGCCUUACUUCGCACUGAAGCUGGUGUGCUCUUAGAACUAAAAUCUAUCACAAGAAGC